CCUGAUGCAGCGACGCCGCGUGAGGGAUGACGGCCUUCGGGUUGUAAACCUCUUUCAGCAGGGAAGAAGCGAAUGUGACGGUACCUGCAGAAGAAGCGCCGGCUAACUACGUGCCAGCAGCCGCGGUAAUACGUAGGGCGCAAGCGUUGUCCGGAAUUAUUGGGCGUAAAGAGCUCGUAGGCGGUCUGUCGCGUCGGAUGUGAAAGCCCGGGGCUUAACCCCGGGUCUGCAUUCGAUACGGGCAGACUAGAGUGCGGUAGGGGAGAUCGGAAUUCCUGGUGUAGCGGUGAAAUGCGCAGAUAUCAGGAGGAACACCGGUGGCGAAGGCGGAUCUCUGGGCCAUUACUGACGCUGAGGAGCGAAAGCGUGGGGAGCGAACAGGAUUAGAUACCCUGGUAGUCCACGCCGUAAACGGUGGGAACUAGGUGUUGGCGACAUUCCACGUCGUCGGUGCCGCAGCUAACGCAUUAAGUUCCCCGCCUGGGGAGUACGGCCGCAAG
rnacentral:rRNA from 1 species